rnacentral:rRNA from 1 species
UAAGACGAACCGAGCGAACGUUGUUCGGAAUCACUGGGCUUAAAGGGCGCGUAGGCGGCUCGCCAAGUCAGGGGUGAAAUUUUGCGGCUUAACCGUAACAGUGCCUUUGAUACUGGCGGGCUCGAGGGAGGUAGGGGUCUGUGGAACUUCUGGUGGAGCGGUGAAAUGCGUUGAUAUCAGAAGGAACGCCGGUGGCGAAAGCGACGGACUGGAUCUCUUCUGACGCUGAGGCGCGAAAGCUAGGGGAGCAAACGGGAUUAGAUACCCCGGUAGUCCUAGCCCUAAACGAUGGGUACUAGAUUGUAAGUCUGACAUGGGCCUACAGUCGAAGCAAAAGUGUUAAGUACCCCGCCUGGGGAGUAUGGUCGCAAGGCUG